ACUACAUACACUUAAGAAAGAGUUCUCUUCGUUCAUAAAUCGGUCACGCACGAAAUCAGAUCUGGAACGGAUCCUUUUUUUUUCUUUUUACUUAAUCGGAUGAGGAGAGACUGCAGCGGACGAAGGGCUGGAACGAAACGGAUCGGAAACUAUGGCACAUCAAGCGCGACUACCGAAAUAAGCCGACGUGCGGUAUUUUACGUUCCGCCUUCGUGAAUGGCAAAUUGUUUUUUUUUCUUUCUUCAAAAAUAGUUAAGACAAUCAUUUCGGCGUGUGUGUUUGAAGAAAGAAGAAAUAAAACAUGCGUUUUUCCAAGCCAUUUGGUACGUGAGUAGAAUCACAGAAUGCGGUGGACCGAGCGUGACCUUCUCAAACCAUUUCAGAAACAAAAAUAGCCGAUAAAAAUAAUUUUUUUUUUCCCCUUUCGUUAUUGCCCCACAUUAAUCGUACACAGUCACGCCGACAUCCCGAGGCGGUUUCUAGUUUCUUCUUAAAAAAAAAAAAAAAAAACGAAUUAAAAGGGGAAGUAAUUUUUCAAUUUCCUGG